GCUUACGUAGCUCAGGAGGUAGAGCACUUCCUUGGUAAGGAAGAGGUCGGCAGUUCGAGUCUGCUCGUAAGCUCCA
rnacentral:tRNA from 1 species